UACGUAUGGUGCAAGCGUUAUCCGGAUUUACUGGGUGUAAAGGGAGCGCAGGCGGCAUGGCAAGUCCGAUGUGAAAACCCGGGGCUCAACCCCGGGACUGCAUUGGAAACUGUCAGGCUAGAGUGUCGGAGAGGUAAGUGGAAUUCCUAGUGUAGCGGUGAAAUGCGUAGAUAUUAGGAGGAACACCAGUGGCGAAGGCGGCUUACUGGACGACAACUGACGCUGAGGCUCGAAAGCGUGGGGAGCAA
rnacentral:rRNA from 1 species